rnacentral:rRNA from 1 species
CGUUCAGGAUGUGGUAACGCCCCAGGGCUGUACAUGGGCACUGGUUUGUAAGCUGGCAGACGUGGAGUGAUGGCAGAGGCGGGCUAGAUUCCACGUGUAGCAGUGAAUGCGUAGAUAUGUGAUGCACACGAUGCCGAAGGCAGCCCCAUGGGUUACACUGACGCUCAUGCACGAAAGCGUGGCGAGCAAACUGGAUUAGAUACCCUGGUAGUUCCACGCCCUAAACUAUGUCUACUGGUUGUCGGGGGAUUAACUCCCUUGGUAACGAAGCUAACGCGUGAAGUUGACCGCCUGGGGAGUACGGCCGCAAGGUUAAAACUCAAAGGAAUUGACGGGGACCCGCACAAGCGGUGGAUUAUGUGGAUUAAUUCGAUGCAACGCGAAAAACCUUACCUACCCUUGAUAUGCUAGGAAGCUCGCAGAGAUGUGAGUGUGCCCGAAAGGGAACCUAGACACAGGUGCUGCAUGGCUGUCGUCAGCUCGUGUCGUGAGAUGUUGGGUUAAGUCCCGCAACGAGCGCAACCCUUAUCAUUAGUUGCUACAUUUAGUUGGGCACUCUAAUGAGACUGCCGGUGACAAACCGGAGGAAGGUGGGGAUGACGUCAAGUCCUCAUGGCCCUUAUGGGUAGGGCCUCACACGUAAUACAAUGGCCGGUACAGAGGGCUGCCAACCCGCGAGGGGGAGCUAAUCUCAGAAAGCCGGUCGUAGUCCGGAUUGUUCUCUGCAACUCGAGAGCAUGAAGUUGGAAUCGCUAGUAAUCGCGGAUCAGCAUGUCGCGGUGAAUACGUUCCCGGGUCUUGUACACACCGCCCGUCACACCAUGGGAGUGGGUUCCACCAGAAGUAGGCAGCCUAACCGCAAGGAGGGCGCUUACCACGGUGAGAUUCAUGACUGGGGCGAAGUCGUAACAAGGAACCA